UUAUAAAUGUACAAUCUAUUAAAAUUCAAGUAUGUAAAUGAACCAUGAUCAUCAAGUAGGUGACAUAGAGCAUCAGGAGAAUCAUUUGGUACAUGCUGCUUAUGUUUGUGUUUUUAAAAUACAAACGAAAAACUUUCAUGUUAAAUGCCUGAGCAUUUAUUUUUUUUUAAAUUGUGGUUUAUCCAUGAUUCAUGUAAUUCUCUUAGGUCCUCUUUAAAGAAGGAAGUACAGAGAAAUCUAAAGUGGGGCAUGUCAAUUAGCUUUGUCAGUAUAACAAAUCAUACUGUUAUUUGUCACAGGAGGAUUCAAUGAGGUCAUUCAUAUAAAGCUUCUACCACAGUAUGUGGCAGAAACAAGUCUUACAGCCAAGCCCAGAUUCAAAGGAUGGAGAAGUUGACACAACUUCCUGCUUAGAGGAUUCCCAGAAGUCUCAUUAUGGCAUCAGCUUCUAAGUCCAGAGGCUUAUCCAUGAUCUACAUCACAUCUGGACACUUCUGGGACUUCUCAGAUACACCUCUUUGAAUGUGGAUACUCUUGAUCCUGAGACAAUAAAGUAAAAAAAAAAAAAAAUUAGUUACCUCCCCAUACACACCCAACAAAUAAUGACAAAAUAUAGGGAAAGUAUAACCAAAAGACAUAAUCCAUUAAAACAAAAACUAAAACACAUUAACAGGGUACAAAUAACCAUCACAGUUCCAUGGCAGUUCUAUCUAGGUCCAUGUUGCUAGGUACUCCACUC